rnacentral:rRNA from 1 species
AACGAACGCUGGCGGCAUGCCUAACACAUGCAAGUCGAACGAGACCUUCGGGUCUAGUGGCGCACGGGUGCGUAACGCGUGGGAACCUGCCCUUAGGUUCGGAAUAACUCCCCGAAAGGGGUGCUAAUACCGGAUAAUGUCUUCGGACCAAAGAUUUAUCGCCUUUGGAUGGGCCCGCGUUGGAUUAGCUAGUUGGUAGGGUAAAAGCCUACCAAGGCGACAAUCCAUAGCUGGUCUGAGAGGAUGAUCAGCCACACUGGGACUGAGACACGGCCCAGACUCCUACGGGAGGCAGCAGUGGGGAAUAUUGGACAAUGGGCGAAAGCCUGAUACAGCAAUGCCGCGUGAGUGAUGAAGGCCUUAGGGUUGUAAAGCUCUUUUACCCGGGAUGAUAAUGACAGUACCGGGAGAAUAAGCUCCGGCUAACUCCGUG